rnacentral:rRNA from 1 species
GGAGGCAAAACACAAAAAGACAGUCUCAGUUCAGAUUGUAGGCUGAAACUCGCCUAUAUGAAGUCGGAAUUGCUAGUAAUCGCAGAUCAGCAUGCUGCGGUGAAUACGUUCCCGGGCCUUGUACACACCGCCCGUCACACCAUGAGAGUUGGGAAUACCCGAAGCCUGUGAGCUAACUUAUAGAGGCAGCAGUCGAAGGUAGAAUCAAUGAUUGGGGUGAAGUCGUAACAAGGUAGC